rnacentral:lncRNA from 1 species
AUGAGGGUUGCAGGGGUUCCGAGGCGGACCUGGGGAGCAGAAACCCCUGUUUAGGGUGAACCGUGGCGGGCGCCGAUGGCCUCUUGGAAGAGGACAGACUAGCAGCUGCGAGGGAGAUGGGACUGGGUUUCACCCCUGAAAGGGCCCCUGGAGACAGCGGGUGAGGGACAGGGGAAGGGGCUGGUGGUCCUCUCUCCCGAGGCCCCGCACCAUCACACGGAUGACUUGGCACAAUAGCUGCUGGGCCAGUGUUGUCGCCUGUGACUGUACUUUAGGGAAACUGACAGGGAGAUCAUGAUGUCGCCAUUUUGAUGGGGUCCCCAGAGGAGAGAUGUCCUCCCCAACGGCUCCUGGACAGGACUGGGGAAAGAGUUCAGAUAAGUAUCUCUGUGGUCUGGGCUGUCACCUUACAACUGCACAACUCUGGACCUCCAGCAUCAGAACCACUGGGGCCUAGGUUAAUAAUACAGAUUUUCAGGCUCCAAUUUGGACAGACGAAACUGAUCUCUGGGGUGGGACCCAGGAAUCUACGUGUAAACAAGCACCCAGGGGAGUUCUGCUCACUGAAAUUUGAGAAUCCCUGAUUUAGAAGGAGGACUAUGCUCUGUGCAUGUUCUCUGAAAUGUUGGGUCAAUCAGGACCUGUCUACUGAAACUGCUCCAACCAGCCAAGGUGCAGAGAAAAGAUGCGUGCAGGGCCGAAAACCAGGGUGCUCUGGAGGCAGGGAGCCCUCGAGAAUGUAAAGCCAGCAAGCUGUUACAGAGUGAUUUGCACAGAACAGACACUCAGUUGAUAUUUGUCAAUUUGCUGUGUUUAAGAACCUUGCUGAAUUAAUUUAAAAGGUAUUUUUAAAAGAAUGAAAUUGAGGAAAAAACCUUCAAGGUUCAGAAAAUGUGAAGUUCUCAUUUACUUGUUUAUGAAAUUGUUUUUGAGUCCAAUAAAGAUGCUCAGCUAAAAUGGUUUUUUUGUUUUAAAUCUCAGAAUUAAGUUUCUCUUAGUUUUGGGCAGUUCGGUCCAGCUACUUGCAAAAGACAGGCUUCCAUAUCUCCUGUAUGCAGCCCUGAAGGACCCAACAGAAGUAAAAUAGUUAUUUAAGGAAUGCAAAGGACUAGGGACAGGAUGCAGAUUAAAAUGUUUAAGAUGAUGUCUGCAGAUGAUGUUUGUAGAUGCUUAAGUUUGUUGAAUUCUUAGUCUUCCUCACAAAGCAGCUAAUUACUUUCAAGACUCUAGUGAGCCUCAAUUUACUCCAAUUUAUGAUUUCCAAUGGUUCUGCAUAAAACUGGGUUGCCGUUUUAUGAAAUUGUUUGCAUCUGCUUGACGUGGGCGCAAACUUCACAGUGAGGAGAUAAUGUGAGGGUUUUGCCUUCUUGCAAAACAACUUACAUAUAUAUGUGAAAAAACUGGGGUUGGGGUUUGAAUUAUGUGGACUGCCUGUGCGUAGUAAGCUCUCUGGUCAGUUACCUAUUUGGCUUUGUGUGGACACAGCUCUUAGGAGGGAGGGUGGUGGAAUUCCUGCUCAUUACCUAUAGUAUCUUGCAGGAGGGCUGCUGAACGCCGGAGCCUUACAACUGUUAAACUCAGGCAGAGCUCGGGAAAUGCUGCCCGGAUGGGUGACUGAUGGAGAGGGGCUACCACUCUUCCAGCUAAACUCCGCUCUGGUUGGGACCCAGCAAUUAUUUUCCAUAGCGAAGUGUUAAUAAAAUAUCUGUUACUCCCAACACAACCUCCUGGGGGAAGGGACCUGUCUGUCUGCUUCAACUUUGGAUCCUCAGUGCCCACAUCAGGAUACCUGGCCUGAGAGAGGGUCCUGCCGGUAUUACCCUGGAGGAAGGAAUGCUGCACAGAGGCCGAGAGGAAUUUGAACAGACUGGCCUUGCUGGGUUUUUAUCUCUUUUUGUCCAAUCCCAUUUUGACACAGUUGUCCAUGCUCCAAUCAUGCUUAUCCAAUGAAGUUUCCAUAACAGGCCUGAGAGGACAGGGUUCAGGAGCUUCCGGACAGCUGAGCAGGUGGAGGUUCCUGGAGGGUGGUGUGCCAGGGAGGGUGUGGAAGCUCUGCCCCUUCCCCCAUACCUUGUCCUAUGCAUUCCUUUAUCUGCAUCCUUCAUUUUAUUUUAUUUUUUUUUGAGACGGAGUCUUGCUCUUGUCGUCCAGGCUGGAAUGCAGUGGUGCGCGAUCUUGGCGCACUGCAACCUCCGCCUCCCGAGUUCAAGAGAUUCUCUUGCCUGAGCCUCCCGAGUAGCUGGGAUUACAGGCACCCGCCACCAUCCCUGGCUAAUUUUUGUAUUUUUAGUAGAGAUGGGGUUUCACCAUGUUGGCCAGGUUAGUCUUGAACUCCUGACCUCAGGUGAUCCACCCACCUCAGCCUCCCAAAGUGCUGAGAUUACAGGCGUGAGCCACAGUGCCCGGCCUGUAUCCUUUAUAAUAUCUUUUAUAAACAACCAAUCAGUAAAUGUGUUACUCUGACUUCUGUGAGCUGCUCUAGCAAAUUAAUCAAAUCCACAGAAGGGUCAUGGGAACCCCAACUUGAAGCCUGUCCGUCAGAAGUUCCAGAGUCCUGGACUUGUGACUGGUGUCUGAAGUGGGCAAGUCUUGGGGACUGAGCCCCUAGCCUGUGGGAUCUGAUGCUAUCUCCACAUAGAUAGCAAUGGAAUUGAAUUGGCGGGCACCUGGCUGGUGUCUGCUGCAGAGCUCAUUGUUUGCUUAGUGGUGGAGAGAAGUCUCCCUCCACAUGUGGUCACAGCAUCUUCUGUCUGUGUUGAUUGCUUUUGAUGUUGAUCGAGAGAACAGGAAAAAGCACAUUGAAUGUCUCAAUGAUGAAGAUGACAAUAAUCUGGCUUCUAGGUUGUUAUGCGGCAGGCAACAGCUGUGCAGAUCCUAAUAAUCUACUCUGGGUGACAGUUUAACACAGGGGUUGGCAAAUGUGGCCCACUUCCUAUUUUUAUAAAUAAAGUUUUAUUGAAACAUG